CAGUCGCCACGGUAAUACGUAGGUGGCAAGCGUUGUCCGGAAUUAUUGGGCGUAAAGGGCUCGCAGGCGGUUUCUUAAGUCUGAUGUGAAAGCCCCCGGCUCAACCGGGGAGGGUCAUUGGAAACUGGGAAACUUGAGUGCAGAAGAGGAGAGUGGGAUUCCACGUGUAGCGGUGAAAUGCGUAGAGAUGUGGAGGAACACCAGUGGCGAAGGCGACUCUCUGGUCUGUAACUGACGCUGAGGAGCGAAAGCGUGGGGAGCGAACAGGAUUAGAUACCCCCGUAGUCCCUGUCUCUUAUAC
rnacentral:rRNA from 1 species